AUGGGGGCGAUUGGUUGCCGUCGGGCCGGGGGGCCCGUGGGCUGGCAGUACGUCUUCGAGGAUGAGGAGGACGAGCGCGAGGACGAGGACGCGCCGCUCGUGGAGGAGGAGGGGGCGGACGAGGACUGGGGGGUCGAGAUGGAGAGGAGGGGGACGAAGAGGAAGGGGCCGCGCUCGUCGCGGCCGCGCAAGCGGCGGCGCGUCGCCACGCUCUGCCCCUCGCCGGCGUCGUCCGACUCCGGGUCUCCGUCGUCGAGCGCCGUGCCCAAGCGGCGGCGCGUCGCCAAGCUCUGCGCCUCGCCGGCGUCGUCCGACUCCGGGUCCCCGUCGUGGAGCGCCGUGCCCAAGAGGCGGCGCAGCGGAAACGGGGCCAAGAGGGGCCGCCCCGUCGCCGUGCCCGCGGAAACGGCUGCGCCCGCACCAGAGGAGGCGACGCCGAGCACUAGCACCGCGGGCCGCGCCAAGGGGAGGAGGUCGUGCCACCAGUGCAAGGCGGCAAUGAAGCAGCAGAUGACCAAGUGUAAGCGAUGCCGCGAGAAGAUCUACUGCGGCCCCUGCAUCGAGGAUAUGUAUCCGGAGUUGUCGUUGGCCGAGGUUAGAGUCAGGUGCCCGUCCUGCCGUGGAAUCUGCAAUUGUAAACGGUGCACUGCCAAGGAGCAGGGUGAACCCAAGAGUUCAGUUUUGAGGAAACGCAACGGCAGUAGAUCAGUAACGAAGAGAAAGAAGACUAACACCUCAGGUGUAAAGUCAACCAGGGUUCGGAAUGAGGUGGCACAGACCGAAGCAAAUGACAACUCCUUCCUAAGUUCCAAUGAGAUUAAUAGCACAUCGGUCAUAUUAGACAAGGUAGAUACGUUGGAUGCAAGAGCUGAUGAGAUUGCUCGUGAAACUAAAGUAAAACAUGCUAGAUAUCUGUUGCACUAUCUGGUGCCUUGUUUGAGUGACCUGAACAGGGAUCAGAUGGUUGAGAGAAAAAUGGAGGCCAAAAUUCAAGGGUUGGAAUUGUCUGAACUGAGUGUUGAACAGGCUGACUGCCGAAAUGAUGAGAGGAUGUUCUGUGACAAUUGCAGAACUUCGAUCUUUGAUCUGCAUAGAAGCUGUCCAAACUGCUCAUAUGAAUUAUGCAUUGCGUGCUGUAAGGAGCUUCGUGAAAAUAAUCUUAAGGGCUCUUGUCGGGAAGAGCUGGUAUCUUAUCCUCAUAGAGGAAUCGACUAUAUGCAUGGUGGUGAUCCAUCACCUGAGUUGAUGAACUGCGUACAAACAGACCUGUCCAGUUGCCAGCCUAAGACUACCAAGUGGUGUGCUAAUACUGAUGGGACUAUUAAUUGCCCCCCACCUGAACUUGGUGGUUGUGGUGAUCAUGCCCUUAAGUUGAGACAGAUGUUUCCAAAAGAUUGGUUAAAUAAGCUUGAAAGCGAUGCUCUACAGUUGAGUAAGCAGCUAGAACCUUCUGAUAUUGUCAGCGGAUAUACAAAUGAAUGCCCGUGCUGUACUAAACAUGAAAAUGCAAGACAUGCUGCCACCAGAGAUAAUUCAACAGAUAACUGCCUAUACUGUCCAAAAUCAGAUAAUGAGAAAACAGACGAUCUAACUCACUUCCAGAGUCACUGGGUUAAAGGAGAACCUGUUAUUGUACAAGGGGUACUACAGAAAAUGCCACAUUUGAGCUGGGAACCACCACAUAUGUGGUCUGAAGUACAUGGUGCUAGUACUACCCCUGAUAUGAAAAAUGUGAAGUGUAUUGAUUGUUUAUCUUGUUGUGAGGUCGAGAUACGCACACAGGAUUUCUUCAAUGGAUACUAUUAUGGUCGGGUGUAUCAAAAUGAAUGGCCCGAAAUGCUUAAAUUGAAGGACUGGCCUACUUCAAAUCAUUUUGAAGAGCUUUUACCUUCGCAUGGAGUGGAAUACAUCAAUUCUUUACCCUUUCAACCGUACACAAAUUUGAAAUCUGGCUUGCUAAGUGUCUCCGCAUUGCUUCCUGAUGACAUUCUAAAGAUUGACAUGGGCCCAAAGUCAUACAUAGCUUAUGGCUAUGCGCAGGAACUUGGCAGAGGAGAUUCUGUUACGAAGCUUCAUUGUGAUAUAUCUGAUGCAGUUAACGUUUUGAUGCAUACUGCAAAAGUUGCCCCUUCUGAAGGACAAGAAAAUGCAAUAAAAAACUUGAAAGCAAGACAUGAGCUACAAGAUGAAAAGGACUGUUGUGGGAAUUUUGCAAUUGAUGGAAGUGAUGCAUGUCAUAAAAACUGUCUGGAUUCAAACCACACAUCCUCUCCUAACUGCAGCAUGGACGAUGAUGGAGGUGCUUUAUGGGAUAUUUUCAGGAGGGAGGAUGUUCCAAAACUGGAAACAUACCUUCGUAAACAUUCCAAGGAAUUUCGCCAUAUAUAUUGUUCUCCAGUUGAAAAGACAUUUAACCCUCUACAUGAUGAAACAUUCUAUCUAACCGAGGAACAUAAAAGGAGACUUAAAGAGGAGCAUGGAAUCGAGCCUUGGACAUUUGUACAAAAACUUGGAGAGGCAGUUUUUAUACCUGCUGGGUGCCCUCAUCAAGUACGGAAUCUCAAGUCUUGCACGAAAAUUGCUAUAGAUUUUGUAUCACCUGAGAAUGUCCAGGAGUGUGUCAAGUUAACUCAGCAAUUCCGCGUGCUUCCUAAGAACCACAGAGCAAAAGAAGAUAAAUUAGAGAUUACAGUAGAACGCACAUGCACAUUCGGCGACCACAGACAGGACGACUAUGACAAGGCAGGUAGACUACGACAGAGGGAACCACGGGCACGACUACUGGUCGAUGCCGCUGUACCAGCAGAGGUCGGGCACAAGGCCUACCACGGCGUCGCAACUAAAGCCAAACAAACCGACGCCGACAGCCACACCUAA
rnacentral:rRNA from 1 species